rnacentral:rRNA from 1 species
AGCGAACGCUGGCGGCAGGCCUAACACAUGCAAGUCGAACGAACCUUUCGGGGUUAGUGGCGGACGGGUGAGUAACACGUGGGAACGUGCCUUUAGGUUCGGAAUAACUCAGGGAAACUUGUGCUAAUACCGAAUGUGCCCUUCGGGGGAAAGAUUUAUCGCCUUUAGAGCGGCCCGCGUCUGAUUAGCUAGUUGGUUGAGGUAAUGGCUCACCAAGGCGACGAUCAGUAGCUGGUCUGAGAGGAUGAUCAGCCACAUUGGGACUGAGACACGGCCCAAACUCCUACGGGAGGCAGCAGUGGGGAAGCUUGCGCAAUGGGCGAAAACCUGACGCAGCCAUGCCGCGUGAAUGAUGAAGGGCUUAGGAUUGUAAAAUUCUUUCACCGGGGACGAUAAUGACGGUACCCGGAGAAGAAGCCCCGGCUAACUUCGU